GUUCCGCUCAAGUUCCUCCGCCGCGACCUCAGGACAGGCCGAAGAGGCGCGCACUACUCACGUGUCUUCCAAGUGCUGCUCCAAGGUCGCCUCCAUCCCACCCACCGACCACUCCGGCUCAGAACCCAGCGGCACGGCACGUCCUUCUCCACCACAGGCCUCAGUCACUUGACGCGAGCGGGGCGUGGACCGUAACGGCGCCUCCAAAGGGACAAAAUUGAUCACGGUGCAACGUCCGCGUUCUUUACUGGAAAACAUCACUGCGCUUCCGUCGCACAGAGCCUGACGAAGGCUUGGGCUCCCCGCGCGGUGACCGUCGAGGUGACCUGCACCUGGCUCCAUGGCGGAACCGGCCGGCACGGAUUAUUCCCCUCUCGGGAGAGGUCUGCAGCCGGGCCUCAGUGCUUCAGUUCGUGGCCUGGCAUUUUGUGUCAGUGUUUUUUAACCUUUGGACCCUAGUUCAACCGACUCCGAGACCUAGGGGACAGAUCUUAAGUUUUACAAUAACCCAGGGGUCAGACAGGGUCUGAUCUAGCCUGUGGGGCAAGUACGGGGAAGACACGGGACCUCUUGGAGGGGGUCAGUAGGCUUGUAGGGGGAAAGACGCACACAGAGACUAAAGGACGAGAUGGAGCAAGGUUCAACCCCCUAGCUGAGUGUUGGCAGUGUCGGGAUUUUAACGAAGACAUUGGUGCUUAUUAUGGUGAGGGGACUCAGGACAGUUUAGGGGAAGAGAGUGGCAUUUGAGUCCUAACUCGUAAGGAAGACUGGGUAGGACUACUUGAAAAUAACUUUUAAAAAUUAAUUAUAAAGCUGGUAAAAAUAGGAAAACAUCUAUGGCCCCACUGUCCAAAGACGACUUUUAACUUCUUGGAGAAUAUCCUUUCAGAUAGUUGUCUUUGUAAAUGUAUACUUUUAAUGUUUUUUCGUUUGCCUUUUUAAAAUAAAUUUUUUGGGGGACAGGGUCUUGCUCUGUUACCCAGGCUGUAGUGCAGUAGAACGAUUAUAGCUCAUUGCAACCCGGACGUCCUGGGUUCAAGCUAUCCUCACCUCUCAGCCUCUCGACUGGCUAGGACCACAGCCUCGAGCCAUCAUGUCUGGCUAAUUUUUACGUUUUUUUGUAGAGAUGGGGGUCUCGCUGUGUUGUCCAGGCUGGUCUUAAACUCCUUGCUUCAACAGAUCCUCCCACUCCAGCCUCCCAAAAUGUGAUUACAGGCUGAGUCACCACGCCUAGCAUGGUUUUUUUUGUUUUGUUUGUUUUGUAAGCAAAAUUGACAUACAUACUGGAGGUACAAUUCUGUAGCUGGCCUUCUUUACAGAGUUUAGAAUAAAUGUCUUUCCAUGUCAAGUUUU
rnacentral:lncRNA from 1 species